UUGAUCCUGGCUCAGAAUCAACGCUGGCGGCGCGCUUAACACAUGCAAGUCGCACGAGAAAGUGGAGCAAUCCAUGAGUAAAGUGGCGUACGGGUGAGUUACACGUGGAUCAUCUACCUUCUAGUGGGGAAUACCCCCGGGAAACUGGGUACAAUACCGCAUAAGCUCGUAAGAGGAAAGCAGCAAUGCGCUGGAAGAGUAGUCCGCGGCUGAUUAGCUAGUUGGCGGGGUAACGGCCCACCAAGGCGAUGAUCGGUAGCCGGCCUGAGAGGGCACACGGCCACACUGGCACUGAAAUAUGGGCCAGACUCCUACGGGAGGCAGCAGUGGGGAAUCUUGCACAAUGGAGUAAACUCUGAUGCAGCGACGCCGCGUGAGCGAUGGAGCCCUUCGGGGUGUUAAGCUCUUUCGACGGGAACGAUAAUGACGGUACCCGAAGAAGAAGCUGCUGCUAACUACGUGCCAGCAGCCGCGGUAAUU
rnacentral:rRNA from 1 species